rnacentral:rRNA from 1 species
AGGACGAACGCUGGCGGCGUGCUUAACACAUGCAAGUCGAGCGGAAAGGCCCUUCGGGGUACUCGAGCGGCGAACGGGUGAGUAACACGUGAGCAACCUGCCCUUAGCUCUGGGAUAGCUCCGGGAAACCGGAAUUAAUACCGGAUAUGACCUAGGCCGACAUCGGCCGUGGUGGAAAGUUUUUCGGCUAGGGAUGGACUCGCGGCCUAUCAGCUAGUUGGUGGGGUAAUGGCCUACCAAGGCGACGACGGGUAGCCGGCCUGAGAGGGCGACCGGCCACACUGGGACUGAGACACGGCCCAGACUCCUACGGGAGGCAGCAGUGGGGAAUCUUGCGCAAUGGGCGAAAGCCUGACGCAGCGACGCCGCGUGGGGGAUGAAGGCCUUCGGGUUGUAAACCCCUUUCAGCAGGGACGAAGCGAAGUGACGGUACCUGCAGAAGAAGCGCCGGCUAACUACGUGCCAGCAGCCGC